rnacentral:rRNA from 1 species
UACGGGGGAGCAAGCGUUGUUCGGAUUUACUGGGCGUAAAGGGCGCGUAGGCGGCCACCGCAAGUCGACUGUGAAAUCUCCGGGCUUAACCCGGAAAGGUCAGCCGAUACUGCGGGGCUAGAGUGCAGAAGGGGCAACUGGAAUUCCUGGUGUAGCGGUGGAAUGCGCGGAUAUCAGGAGGAACACCGAUGGCGAAGGCAGGUCUCUGGGCCGCAACUGACGCUGAGGAGCGGAAAGCA